rnacentral:rRNA from 1 species
GAUGAACGCUGGCGGCGUGCCUAAUACAUGCAAGUCGAGCGAACAGAUGAGGAGCUUGCUCCUCUGACGUUAGCGGCGGACGGGUGAGUAACACGUGGAUAACCUACCUAUAAGACUGGGAUAACUUCGGGAAACCGGAGCUAAUACCGGAUAAUAUAUUGAACCGCAUGGUUCAAUAGUGAAAGACGGUUUUGCUGUCACUUAUAGAUGGAUCCGCGCCGCAUUAGCUAGUUGUUAAGGUAACGGCUUACCAAGGCAACGAUGCGUAGCCGACCUGAGAGGUGGUCGGCCCAACUGGAAACUGAAAAACGUCCCAGACUCUAAGGGAAGGCAGAGGUAGGAAAGCUUCGGAAAGGGGGGAAAGCCUGACGAAGAAACGCCGGGGGGGUGAGGAAGGUCUUCGGAUGGUAAAACUCUGUUAUUGGGGAGAACAAAUGUGUAAGUAACUAUGCACGUCUUGACGGUACCUAAUCAGAAAGCCACGGCUAACUACGUG